UUCUAUUAGACUUCAUUAAUAGUAAGAUCUGCUCAAUGAUAAAUUAAAUAGCCGCAAUUCGUGCUAAGGUAGCAUAAUCACUUGUCUUUUAAAUAAGGACUAGAACAAAAGAUUUAACAUUUUAACUUAUUUACCUUCUAUAAUAUACCAAACUUUUCUUAAAUGUAAAAGGACAUUUAUUCUAAAGAAAGACGAUAAGACCCUAUUGAACUUAACUUCAGUUAAACUGGGGCAGUAAAUAAAUUAACACUUUUAAUAAAAUAAAACCUCAUUUAUCCAGUAUUAUUGAAUAAUUCAGUUACCAUAGGGAUAACAGCGUAAUUAUAUUUUAAAGUUCUCAUUUUCAAUAUAGAUUGCAACCUCGAUGUUGAAUAAUAACCUAAAUAAGGCAAGACUUAAUAAAGGAGGUCUGUUCGACCUUUAAAAAAUUACA
rnacentral:rRNA from 1 species